GCUGGGGUAGCUCAACGGUAGAGCCGCUCACUCGUAAUGAGAAGGCUGCGGGUUCAAGUCCCGCCCCUAGCU
rnacentral:tRNA from 1 species